rnacentral:rRNA from 1 species
GAUGAACGCUGGCGGCGUGCCUAAUACAUGCCAGUCGAGCGAACAGACGAGGAGCUUGCUGCGCUGACGUUAGCGGCGGACGGGUGAGUAACACGUGGAUAACCUACCUAUAAGACUGGGAUAAUUUCGGGAAACCGGAUCUAAUACCGUAGGAUAUUUUGAACCGCAUGGUUGAAUAGUGAAAGUCGGUGUUGCUGUCACUUAUAGAUGGAUCCGCGCUGCAUUAGCUAGUUGGUAAGGUAACGGGUUACCAAGGCAAGGAUGCGUAGACGAACUGAGAGGGUGAUCGCCCACCUGGGAGGGUAGCCAGGCACCUGGGUCCUACGGGAGGCACCAGUAGGGAAUCUUAGGCAAUGGGCGGGAGCAUUGCGGAGUAGCGCCGAGUGAGUGAUGAAGGUCUUCGGUUCGUAAAAAUCUGUUAUUAGGGAAGAACAGAUGUCUAAGUAAAUGUGCACUUCUUGACGGUACCUAGUAAGAAAGCCACGGCUAACUACGUG